CCCAGUGAGCUGACCAUGUGGUAGAGUCCACACAAUGGGUUGUAAAAACUGAGGCCUGGAGGCCAGGCUGAAACCAGUUCCACCAGCUAUCACAUUACGAUGGACCCUAAAAGUGAUUCUCUGAGUGGGGAAGCAGACACAUCAGCAGCUGUGGCCAAUGUAGCAGCACGAGAUGGUCAGGGGGUGAUACCAGCUUGAAGGAGGCUAACAUGCUAGCCAGGACAAAGGAAACUGGGGGGUGUGGCUGGCUCCUUGGCUGCAGCGGACGAGGCACACCUGCUUGCAAUUCAUCUAAUCAUCCCCUCCAUAAAAGCAUGGUCGUCUCACCACUUCGACGCCAGAUUAAUCCGUCUACUUCGAACCUUUGUGUGCCUCACCGCUCGGCUCCUCAUCCUCUUCUCAACCAGGAUCUCCAAGCCUGCCAGCACCCUGCCGCUCCAGCCUUCAUCUACCUCUCCUACAAAUAAACUCUGUUCAUUUACCU